rnacentral:rRNA from 1 species
GCCUUUUGUAGAAUGAACCGGCGAGUUACGAUUUGAUGCAAGGUUAAGCAGUAAAUGUGGAGCCGUAGCGAAAGCGAGUCUGAAUAGGGCGUUUAGUAUUUGGUCGUAGACCCGAAACCAGGUGAUCUACCCUUGGUCAGGUUGAAGUUCAGGUAACACUGAAUGGAGGACCGAACCGACUUACGUUGAAAAGUGAGCGGAUGAACUGAGGGUAGCGGAGAAAUUCCAAUCGAACCUGGAGAUAGCUGGUUCUCUCCGAAAUAGCUUUAGGGCUAGCCUCAAGUGAUGAUUAUUGGAGGUAGAGCACUGUUUGGACGAGGGGCCCCUCUCGGGUUACCGAAUUCAGACAAACUCCGAAUGCCAAUUAAUUUAACUUGGGAGUCAGAACAUGGGUGAUAAGGUCCGUGUUCGAAAGGGAAACAGCCCAGACCACCAGCUAAGGUCCCAAAAUAUAUGUUAAGUGGAAAAGGAUGUGGCGUUGCCCAGACAACUAGGAUGUUGGCUUAGAAGCAGCCAUCAUUUAAAGAGUGCGUAAUAGCUCACUAGUCGAGUGACACUGCGCCGAAAAUGUACCGGGGCUAAACAUAUUACCGAAGCUGUGGAUUGUCCUUUGGACAAUGGUAGGAGAGCGUUCUAAGGGCGUUGAAGCAUGAUCGUAAGGACAUGUGGAGCGCUUAGAAGUGAGAAUGCCGGUGUGAGUAGCGAAAGACGGGUGAGAAUCCCGUCCACCGAUUGACUAAGGUUUCCAGAGGAAGGCUCGUCCGCUCUGGGUUAGUCGGGUCCUAAGCUGAGGCCGACAGGCGUAGGCGAUGGAUAACAGGUUGAUAUUCCUGUACCACCUAUAAUCGUUUUAAUCGAUGGGGGGACGCAGUAGGAUAGGCGAAGCGUGCGAUUGGAUUGCACGUCUAAGCAGUAAGGCUGAGUAUUAGGCAAAUCCGGUACUCGUUAAGGCUGAGC